GUGCAGCAGUCGCGAAACUCCACAAUGUGCGAAAGCACGAUGAGGGAAUCCCAAGUGCUUGCUCGUAAGAGUAAGCUGUUUCUCUGUCUAAAACGCAGAGAGAGUAAGGGCUGGGUAAGACGGGUGCCAGCCGCCGCGGUAAUACCUGCAGCUCGAGUGGUGGCCGCUAUUAUUGGGCCUAAAACGUCCGUAGCCGGUUUAUUAAAUGCCUGGGUAAAUCGGACCGCUUAACGGUUCGAAUUCCGGGUAGACUGAUAAACUUGAGACCGGGAGAAGCUAGAGGUACUCCUGGGGUAGAGGUGAAAUUCUGUAAUCCUAGGGGGACCACCAGUGGCGAAGGCGUCUAGCUAGAACGGGUCUGACGGUGAGGGACGAAGCCCUGGGGC
rnacentral:rRNA from 1 species